GGACCAGGGACCCUCAAGAUGAGAUGUUAUUUGGAAUAGAAGGUAAAGGAAGGGGUUCACCUUGCCCCUGAGCUCAGAGCUACACCAAACCUACUGUAAGACAGUGGAAUUCAGACAUCACAGCAGUGGGAUGGUCAUCAUUGGAGGUCUCUAAGUCACUACCCCAAGAAGCCCCUUGACAGUGUGCCCGGCUGGUGAGAGGAUUCUUUGAAUGAUGUCUGCACACUG
rnacentral:lncRNA from 1 species